rnacentral:rRNA from 1 species
GACAGAGGGUGCAAACGUUGUUCGGAAUUACUGGGCGUAAAGCGCGUGUAGGCGGCCCGGCAAGUCGGAUGUGAAAGCCCUCGGCUCAACCGAGGAAGUGCAUUCGAAACUGCCGGGCUAGAGUCCUGGAGAGGAUAGUGGAAUUCUCGGUGUAGAGGUGAAAUUCGUAGAUAUCGAGGGGAACACCGGUGGUGAAGGCGGCUAUCUGGACGGUGACUGACGCUGAGACGCGAAAGCGUGGGGAGCAAACAGG